AAAGACUAUCCACAGAACAAAAGUAUAACUAAAGAAAAUAUGAAUCAGUUUUCUCAAAAAAGAGAAAAAGUACAAAUUCAUGUAUCAAAACAAAUUUUGCAAUUGACUAUUGACAGUCAACCAGACAGCAAAAAGAUGCAAACAACUGAAAAAUACCCAAAUAACUUAAAGAAGCAAGGGUUAUCUCCAUUCACUGCAGGUCAAGAACUGCUUCAAUGUGAAAAAGAAUUUUAUGGACAUGUCAAACAUAAUUUGAAUUUUGUCACACACAGUGUGGAAAAGAAAUACUUUCAGGAUCCACAGAUGCAGACAGGUAAAAGAAGCAAUGAAGUAAACAGUUCAGAAAUAAUAGAAAAAUAUGAUGAUAGUGCUCAACAUUGUGAUGUUCCUUCAGUACCAAAAACGAUUGAAAAUUAUGCUCCCCAAGAACAAACUAUCCCACAUUAUUCUGAUUCUCAUACCUUUUCUAAGAAAAAUAUACAUUUACUACCCAUGUAUAAAAGUCUAAUCUAUUCAAAAGAAGGUAAAAAAGAAUUUAAAAGUAAACAAAAGAUUUUAGCUUCUCAUGUUGAUCAAUCAGAUAGGGAAAAAAGCAUUAUAACCAGUACAAGGCCUGAUAGAAAGCAUAUCAACCAGGCAGAAUAUACCACAAAAACAUAUUUAGCACCUAAUUUAGAAAACAAGUUUAAACUUUUAAGUCAACGUAAGAAACAAGAUGGCAUUUUAAAUACUGGAGAUACCGAACUUGAAUUUCAGCAAGAAAUAGUACCACUAAUGUUAUCUGUACCAGUAGUAGUAUCUCAGAAGAAAACUAAACACAGUUUAAUCGCUGACUAUCAUAAUUUACUUCUUAAAAAGCAUGGUUUAGUAGACACUGUUGCCAGUGAAGAUCUUCUUGUGCAACAUUUAGACAUUCAGAGGGAAGAUUCCAAAUCAGAUCGUACUAUUAAUCCUAGCAAAUUUUCCUCAGAUGAGAUCUCCCAUCAUCUUGAGUCUAUAAAUCAUAUUAUGGAUUGCACCCCUAUGUACACAAAAGGUAGUUUAAACACACACCAUUUAGUUUUUGAUGCUGAUAAUGAAAUAUUUACAGAAGACAAAACAGUUUGUUUUAAAAAUUUAAACUAUGUACCUAAACUAUUUACUUAUGGGCAUGAAAAAGUUAAGCCAGAAAAGGGCCAGGAAGAUAAGAAAAGUGAGAAAAAUAGGAACAAAAAUGCGAGAAAUUUUAAUAUAUGGCAAAGUGUUAUAAGCAAUAUUUUUGAUAAAACUUCAUAUUAUUUUGGAAAGAUAUAUCAAAAAACUAAUGAUAAUGAUAAUUUCACAAAACAUAAAAUUAAUAAAAAUAUGAAAGCAGAGAGAUAUAAGGCUAAGUCUGCCCAUGAACAAACAAAAUAUGAAUGUCAAGAUGUGAAUGUUUUUUAUUCUUUUAAUAAUAAAGUAAUGCAAUGGAAAAAAUAUGUUACUGCAGAUUCAGAAAAUGGUGACAGAAACACUGUCAGACUCCGAAUUCUGGAAAAAGAGUCUGUUUUCCAAAAUGCAAUUCAAAAUGGUAAAUUGAUAACAAAUACAGGCUUAGACUGGAAAGAUGCCAGUUCCUCCUUAAGAGUCCAGGAAUUUAAUUUAAAGCUAGUUGAGGAAUCAAGAAAGAUUAUUCAAGCAAAUAUUUGUGUAGAUGAAUUGCAGCAACUGCAGAAAGAGUUUGAAAAGCUUCAGUACAACUUCUCCAUUUCUCCAUGUGAAGAUAUUUACAAGAAAAGAAAACAAGCAACAACUUUGGUGGAACAUAGAUGUAAAUUAAAUAUUGGACACAAGAAGUGUAUGAAGACCAAAAUGCAUUUACUGCCAGAAGUCCAAGGUCUAAUGUGGGAAAUCAGAAACAACUGUGGAAGCCAAAAGACAGAAUCAGAUAAUGGGAAAUUACCUGCCAAUGAUCUCAAAGAAAAAAAUCCUUUGAAUUCAAAUAAGAAAGCUAAGAAUGACCAGUAUUCUGAAAAAAAAACACCUCCCACAAAUACUAAGAAAAAGCCAAAUGCUUCAGGAAAAAAAUAUCUAGACCAACAGGACAUCAAAGAAGUACAAGAGAACAAUCUAAUGAAUCAAAGUUGUAUCAUUAGUAAUGAAAAUGAAUGGCUACUUCACUUAACCCUGGAUUUGAAUACAUUCUGUGCCACUGUAACUUCUAUUUUUUCAUCUAUGAUACCUAUAGGUAAAAAGGUAAGUUUCUUC
ensembl:lncRNA